rnacentral:sRNA from 1 species
GAAGGCAUGCUUCGUAAAUAAAUUUCCGCAAUGUGAGCAGGGGAAUAACGCGAAGUAAAUAAGCGCGCUAGGGUUCUGAACACAUAAAGAAGGCGACCACCGUGGUCGCCUUUUCUGUUAUU